rnacentral:rRNA from 1 species
GGAACUGCGUUCUGAACUGGGUAGCUAGAGUAUGUCAGAGGGGGGUAGAAUUCCACGUGUAGCAGUGAAAUGCGUAGAGAUGUGGAGGAAUACCGAUGGCGAAGGCAGCCCCCUGGGAUAAUACUGACGUUCAUGCUCGAAAGCGUGGGUAGCAAACAGGAUUAGAUACCCUGGUAGUCCACGCCCUAAACGAUGUCGAUUAGCUGUUGGGCAGCUUGACUGCUUAGUAGCGUAGCUAACGCGUGAAAUCGACCGCCUGGGGAGUACGGUCGCAAGAUUAAAACUCAAAGGAAUUGACGGGGACCCGCACAAGCGGUGGAUGAUGUGGAUUAAUUCGAUGCAACGCGAAGAACCUUACCUGGUCUUGACAUGUACGGAACCUUCCAGAGACGGAAGGGUGCCUUCGGGAGCCGUAACACAGGUGCUGCAUGGCUGUCGUCAGCUCGUGUCGUGAGAUGUUGGGUUAAGUCCCGCAACGAGCGCAACCCUUGUCAUUAGUUGCCAUCAUUUAGUUGGGCACUCUAAUGAGACUGCCGGUGACAAACCGGAGGAAGGUGGGGAUGACGUCAAGUCCUCAUGGCCCUUAUGACCAGGGCUUCACACGUCAUACAAUGGUCGGUACAAAGGGUAGCCAAGCCGCGAGGCGGAGCCAAUCUCAUAAAACCGAUCGUAGUCCGGAUUGCACUCUGCAACUCGAGUGCAUGAAGUCGGAAUCGCUAGUAAUCGCAGGUCAGCAUACUGCGGUGAAUACGUUCCCGGGUCUUGUACACACCGCCCGUCACACCAUGGGAGUGGGGGAUACCAGAAGUAGGUAGGGUAACCGCAAGGAGCCCGCUUACCACGGUAUGCUUCAUGACUGGGGUGAAGUCGUAACAAGGUAGCCGUAGGGGAACC